UACAGAGGGUGCGAGCGUUGUCCGGAAUCACUGGGCGUAGAGGGCGCGUAGGCGGCUCGGUAAGGUUGCGGUGAAAGCCCGGGGCUCAACCCCGGGUCGGCCGUGGCAACUGCUGAGCUGGAGCACUGUAGAGGCAGGUGGAAUUCCGGGUGUAGCGGUGGAAUGCGUAGAGAUCCGGAAGAACACCGGUGGCGAAGGCGGCCUGCUGGGCAGUGGCUGACGCUGAGGCGCGACAGCGUGGGGAUCAAACAGG
rnacentral:rRNA from 1 species